GAAAGCCUCACAAUCCUGAUCCACAACUUACUUCAUCGUGUAAUACCAAAGCUGGAGAUCCCGAAGAUACCACACACACCCGGUUUGCCCGCUGGAUUGCCGGGUCGGAAGGCUUGGGGCCUACACCAUGCAAAGCAGGGGAGAGGCGGCCGCUCUCCCAGCUCACCAAAGCAUGUGGCACCCGAAGCAUCGGGCGUCCCCUCCCCCCCUUGGACUGGUGAGGGUUAUCCCGGUCCCAAUCGUCCAAACCCAUCUGCCUAGAGGGUCGGUAAACGACAAGACAGGCCUAAAACUAGCAAUAAAGCAGCAAACCACUCGCUGUCCUAAGAUGGCGGACACGCAGCCCAACAAAGGCCUCG